GAGCUGGGUUUAGAACGUCGUGAGACAGUUCGGUCCCUAUCUGCCGUGGGUGUAGGAUACUUGAGAGGAGUUGCCCCUAGUACGAGAGGACCGGGGUGAACGAACCACUGGUGGACCUGUUGUGGCGCCAGCCGCAGUGCAGGGUAGCUAUGAUCGGAAAGGAUAACCGCUGAAGGCAUCUAAGCGGGAAGCCCCCCUCAAAACAAGGUAUCCCUGAGGACCGUGGUAGACCACCACGUCGAUAGGCCGGAGAUGUAAGCGCAGCAAUGCGUUCAGUUGACCGGUACUAAUUGUCCGAUAGGCUUGAU
rnacentral:rRNA from 1 species